UUGGUAACGAUGGAAAUAAGCAAUCUUGUAAUCUUCUCGCUAUCUCCUCUCAGAGUCGUUCCAAGGAUGCCACUGUUUCUCAGUCGUACCUCAGUAAUG
rnacentral:pre_miRNA from 1 species